rnacentral:misc_RNA from 1 species
UUUUUGCGUGCGGGAUAAAAGUGAAAAUCCUCCCGAUUUUUAUUCGUAAGAUUACUUCACCUAACAAUUAUUUUCAUAGAAGUUAUAUGAACUUCGUUUGCAACGGAUAGCCCGACCAGGC